rnacentral:tRNA from 1 species
AAGUAAAUGGUGUAAUUUGAGCAUAUGCGAUUUCGGGUCGUAAAGUACUAUAAGUUUUACUUU